GGGCUCGUCGCCGAGCACGGAUUAAGGCGUCGGCCUCCGGAGCCGAAGACCCUGGGUUCAAAUCCCAGCGGGCCCGCCA
rnacentral:tRNA from 1 species